ensembl:miRNA
GAGGCACUGGGUAGGUGGGGCUCUGGGGCUCCUGACACCUGGACCUCUCCUCCCCAGGCCCACA